GAAGACUUCCGGUGCCUGCCUCCUUUCCUCUGGCCCAUGCCUGGUUUUCACAGGUCCAUAGUGGCACCUCCCUGCUGAGCAGGUGUCUUCUAGGGUGAUACCAUCUCACCACUGGAUAGAGACUCCUGCAUCCAGCCAGAAGAGCACCCAGGUGAGGGGCUGCAGGGCUCUAUGCUGCGGGAGAGCUGCUCAGUGGCACGCAGGCUCCAAAGGGUGCCAGCAUUGGCAGGAAGGGGCAACUCAACUUCCGGGAGAACUUCAGUCUUCUUACCUGUGUAAUGGGCUGCCGGUGACAGCAUCCACCUCCUAGCACUCCUGUGAGGGCUGAGGGCCUGUUAUAUGCCAGGUGUUUCACACAGGCUGUCCUCGUUACUCUUCUCAUUGCUGAGACAAAAUACCAACACCUACAAUUAAAGGGAGAAAGCUUUAUUUAGCUCACAGUUUGUAAAGGUUUCAGUCCCUAAUCAGCUGGCUCCAAAGCAAGGUGGCUUUGGCAGAGG
rnacentral:lncRNA from 1 species